rnacentral:rRNA from 1 species
AUUGAACGCUGGCGGCAUGCCUUACACAUGCAAGUCGAACGGCAGCACGGGUGCUUGCACCUGGUGGCGAGUGGCGAACGGGUGAGUAAUACAUCGGAACGUACCUUAUCGUGGGGGAUAACGCAGCGAAAGCUGUGCUAAUACCGCAUACGCCCUGAGGGGGAAAGCGGGGGAUCGAAAGACCUCGCGCGAUUAGAGCGGCCGAUGCCUGAUUAGCUUGUUGGUGGGGUAAAAGCCCACCAAGGCGACGAUCAGUAGCUGGUCUGAGAGGACGAUCAGCCACACUGGGACCGAGACACGGCCCAGACUCCUACGGGAGGCAGCAGUGGGGAAUUUUGGACAAUGGGGGCAACCCUGAUCCAGCAAUGCCGCGUGAGUGAAGAAGGCCUUCGGGUUGUAAAGCUCUUUUGUCAGGGAAGAAACACCGGCUCUAACACAGUCCGGGAAUGACGGUACCUGAAGAUUAAGCACCGGCUAACUACGUGCCAGCAGCCGCAGUAA